AUUGAACGCUGGCGGCAUGCCUUACACAUGCAAGUCGAACGGUAACAGGUUAAGCUGCCGAGUGGCGAACGGGUGAGUAAUGUAUCGGAACGUGCCCAGUCGUGGGGGAUAACUGCUCGAAAGAGCAGCUAAUACCGCAUACGACCUGAGGGUGAAAGCGGGGGAUCGCAAGACCUCGCGCGAUUGGAGCGGCCGAUAUCAGAUUAGGUAGUUGGUGAGGUAAAGGCUCACCAAGCCGACGAUCUGUAGCUGGUCUGAGAGGACGACCAGCCACACUGGGACUGAGACACGGCCCAGACUCCUACGGGAGGCAGCAGUGGGGAAUUUUGGACAAUGGGCGCAAGCCUGAUCCAGCCAUGCCGCGUGCGGGAAGAAGGCCUUCGGGUUGUAAACCGCUUUUGCCAGGGAAGAAAAGGUUCUGGCUAAUACCUGGGACUCAUGACGGUACCUGAAGAAUAAGCACCGGCUAACUACGUG
rnacentral:rRNA from 1 species